CCUAAGAGCUUUGAUAGAAGAACAUAAAAAAACGGAGCAACAGAUUGAAAGGGAUUUUGAAACCGCCCGGCUUGAGUUUGCGUCGGUGAUGAACGAGAGGCAAGCCGAGAUUGAAGACGUCAGGGCGCAAAUCGUAGAUCUACAAACCAAGUUAAAUUAUGGCAAAGCAGAUGAAGAAAAGAACGAAAAGGGUGCAACAAAAAAGUUAGAAUCACUUAGGAAAAGGGUGGUUCGUAUUUUCAGGCGUACUAGGGAUUGAUGGUUCAUUAAAAAGAUCGAGUAAAGUAACAUAAGCCUCCUGUCAUUUUGGAAACUAAUAAAGUCUUACAUUU